CCUACGGGUGGCAGCAGGGAGGAAUAUUGGGCAAUGGGCGAGAGCCUGAACCAGCCAAGUCGCGGGAAGGAUGAAGGAGCGAGGGGUUGUAAACUUCGUUUAUAGGGGAAUAAAGUGAGGUACGUGUUCCUUUUUGUAUGUACCAUAUGAAUAAGCAUCGGCUAACUCCGUGCCAGCAGCCGCGGUAAUACGGAGGGUGCGAGCGUUAUCCGGAUUGAUUGGGUUUAAAGGGUGCGUAGGUGGGUGAUUAAGUCAGCGGUGAAAGUUUGUGGCUCAACCAUAAAAUUGCCGUUGAGACUGGUUGACUUGAGUAUAUUUGAGGUAGGCGGAAUGCGUGGUGUAGCGGUGAAAUGCAUAGAUAUCACGCAGAACUCCGAUUGCGAAGGCAGCUUACUAAACUAUAACUGACGCUGAGGCACGAAAGCGUGGGGAUCAAACAGGAUUAGAUACCCUAGUAGUC
rnacentral:rRNA from 1 species